GACAGAGGGUGCAACGUUGUUCGGAUUUACUGGGCGUAAAGCGCGUGUAGGCGGCUUGGCAAGUCGGAUGUGAAAGCCCACGGCUCAACCGUGGAAGCGCAUCCGAAACGGCCUCGCUCGAGUCUCGGAGAGGAAGGUGGAAUGCUUGGUGUAGAGGUGAAAUUCGUAGAUAUCAAGCAGAACACCUGCGGCGAAGGCGGCCUUCUGGACGAUGACUGACGCUGAGACGCGAAAGCGUGGGGAGCAAACAGG
rnacentral:rRNA from 1 species